GAUGAACGCUAGCGGGAGGCCUAAUACAUGCAAGUCGAGCGGUAGAGUGACUUCGGUUGCUUGAGAGCGGCGAACGGGUGAGUAACGCGUACACAAUCUACCUUUAAGAGGGGAAUAGCCCUGGGAAACUGGGAUUAAUGCCCCAUGGCAUCACGAGACGGCAUCGUUUUGUGAUUAAAGCUGAGGUGCUUAGAGAUGAGUGUGCGUCUGAUUAGCUAGUUGGUGCGGUAACGGCGCACCAAGGCGACGAUCAGUAGGGGGCGUGAGAGCGUGGACCCCCACACGGGGUACUGAGACCACGGACCCGACUCCUACGGGAGGCAGCAGUAAGGAAUAUUGGUCAAUGGAGGCAACUCUGAACCAGCCAUGCCGCGUGGAGGAUGAAGGUCCUCUGGAUUGUAAACUUCUUUUAUAUGGGACGAAAAAAGGCUUUUCUAAGUCGUCUGACGGUACCAUAUGAAUAAGCACCGGCUAACUCCGUGCCAGCAGCCGCGGUAA
rnacentral:rRNA from 1 species